GAAAUGAUGAUAGACGCGGAAGCUAAAAGCAAUUUACGAGAAUCAAGAUGAGCAACGUUCGGCAGAUGAUUUCAGAUUUCAAACACAAAACAUUACAUACACGGAAUAUUGAUUUAGUUUGAAAAUGAUGACAGAAUUCAGAAGAUUGGCAAACAUAAACUCACGAAGGGUUUACCAGGAUUGUCCUACAGUAGCAUAGCAUACGGAGCAAAAGUCAACCAGUGAAAAAUGAACCAUAAUUAUUAGAUAGGCGCAAACGAAUAGCAGAAAAGAAAAAUUGCUCAUUCAUGAUAUUCAAUUCUCAAAUAAUUUCAUCUGGUUUCAUAAAUAUUUAAAGUCAACAGAGACUAAGGUGGACAUGAACUGAGACACAUCUACGACCACUUACUAAAACGUAACACCAAAAUAUCCGGAGUGGGCACCAGCGAAAAGUUGAUAACAAGAAGAUAGAUGGCGCUAUUACUACCACAGAUAUGAUGAAUGACGACACUACACAUUAGGUCAUUUGCGUGACCAAUGCUACUGAAACCGUAGCUAAAGUCUACUUAAUUUAGGUACAGCAACUUCAAUAAAUGAUUUAAUGUUGAUUUUUUCCUGCAUGAUAUUGUAAAUCUUCAGUUUUAAAUAAAGUAAUUUCUAAGGACCUACUUA